rnacentral:tRNA from 1 species
GCAAGCAUAGUUUAAUCAAAACAUUAGAUUGUGAUUCUAACAUUAGGAGUUCAAAUCUCCUUACUCGCC